UGGCUCAGGACGAACGCUGGCGGCGUGCCUAAUACAUGCAAGUCGAGCGAAUGGAUUGAGGAGCUUGCUCUCAAGAAGUUAGCGGCGGACGGGUGAGUAACACGUGGGUAACCUGCCCAUAAGACUGGGAUAACUCCGGGAAACCGGGGCUAAUACCGGAUAACAUUUUGAACUGCAUGGUUCGAAAUUGAAAGGCGGCUUCGGCUGUCACUUAUGGAUGGACCCGCGUCGCAUUAGCUAGUUGGUGAGGUAACGGCUCACCAAGGCAACGAUGCGUAGCCGACCUGAGAGGGUGAUCGGCCACACUGGGACUGAGACACGGCCCAGACUCCUACGGGANNNAGCAGUAGGAG
rnacentral:rRNA from 1 species